rnacentral:rRNA from 1 species
AGAGUUUGAUCCUGGCUCAGGAUGAACGCUAGCUACAGGCUUAACACAUGCAAGUCGAGGGGCAGCAUGGUCUUAGCUUGCUAAGGCCGAUGGCGACCGGCGCACGGGUGAGUAACGCGUAUCCAACCUGCCGUCCAGUAGGGGACAGCCCGUAGAAAUGCGGAUUAAUACCCUAUGUUCUCCGAGGAUGACAUCAGAUUCGGAGUAAAGAUUCAUCGCUGGACGAUGGGGAUGCGUCUGAUUAGGCAGCAGGCGGGGCAACGGCCCACCUGGCCAACGAUCAGUAGGGGUUCUGAGAGGAAGGUCCCCCACAUUGGAACUGAGACACGGUCCAAACUCCUACGGGAGGCAGCAGUGAGGAAUAUUGGUCAAUGGGCGCGAGCCUGAACCAGCCAAGUAGCGUGAGGGAAGACUGCCCUACGGGUUGUAAACCUCUUUUGUUCGGGAAUAAAGUGCGGCACGCGUGCCGUUUUGUAUGUACCGUUCGAAUAAGGACCGGCUAAUUCCGUGCCAGCAGCCGCGGUAAUACGGAGGAUGCAAGCGUUAUCCGGAUUUAUUGGGUUUAAAGGGUGCGUAGGCGGCUUGGUAAGCGGGAGGUGAAAUGCCGGCGCUCAACGUCGGAAGUGCCUCCCGAACUGUCGGGCUUGAAUGGUUGUGCCGUGGGAGGAAUGAGUGGUGUAGCGGUGAAAUGCUUAGAGAUCACUCAGAACACCGAUUGCGAAGGCAUCUCACGAACGACUGAUUGACGCUGAGGCACGAAAGCGUGGGGAUCAAACAGGAUUAGAUACCCUGGUAGUCCACGCAGUAAACGAUGAUGGCUAACCGCUGGGGCAGACGCUUCAGUGGCCAAGCGAAAGCGAUAAGCCAUCCACCUGGGGAGUACGACCGCAAGGUUGAAACUCAAAGGAAUUGACGGGGGCCCGCACAAGCGGAGGAACAUGUGGUUUAAUUCGAUGAUACGCGAGGAACCUUACCCGGGCUCGAACGGCAGAGGAACAAUCCAGAGAUGGUGCGGCCCUUCGGGGCUUCUGUCGAGGUGCUGCAUGGUUGUCGUCAGCUCGUGCCGUGAGGUGUCGGCUCAAGUGCCAUAACGAGCGCAACCCUUUUCGCCAGUUGCCAUCAGGUAGAGCUGGGCACUCUGGCGACACUGCCACCGUAAGGUGUGAGGAAGGUGGGGAUGACGUCAAAUCAGCACGGCCCUUACGUCCGGGGCUACACACGUGUUACAAUGGCGCGUACAGAGGGCAGGCGGCCGGCAACGUCCGUCGAAUCCCGAAAUCGCGCCGUAGUUCGGAUUGGGGUCUGCAACCCGACUCUAUGAAGUUGGAAUCGCUAGUAAUCGUGGAUCAGCACGCCACGGUGAAUACGUUCUCGGGUCUUGUACACACCGCCCGUCA